CGAAUGCUGACGUGAGUAACGACAAAACGGGUGAAAAACCCGUUCGCCGAAAGACCAAGGGUUCCAGUCCAACGUUAAUCGGGGCUGGGUGAGUCGACCCCUAAGGCGAGGCCGAAAGGCGUAGUCGAUGGGAAAAUGGUUAAUAUUCCAUUACUUCUGUGUAAUGCGAUGAGAGGACGGAGAAGGCUAAAUCAGCCUGGCGUUGGUUGUCCAGGUGAAAGGAUGUAGGCAUGUAUCUUAGGCAAAUCCGGGGUACUCUAUGCUGAGAUCUGAUAGCAAGCUGUACUUGUACAGCGAAGUGGUUGAUGCCAUGCUUCCAGGAAAAGUCUCUAAGCUUCAGUUACACAGGAAUCGUACCCGAAACCGACACAGGUGGUCAGGUCGAGUAGACCAAGGCGCUUGAGAGAACUCUGCUGAAGGAACUAGGCAAAAUGGUACCGUAACUUCGGGAGAAGGUACGCUGUUGUUGGUGAUGGAACUCGCUUCCUGAGCUGACGACAGCCGCAGAAACCAGGCCGCUGCAACUGUUUAUUAAAAACAUAGCACUCUGCAAACACGAAAGUGGACGUAUAGGGUGUGAUGCCUGCCCGGUGCUGGAAGGUUAAUUGAUGGGGUUAGCGUAAGCGAAGCUCUUGAUCGAAGCCCCAGUAAACGGCGGCCGUAACUAUAACGGUCCUAAGGUAGCGAAAUUCCUUGUCGGGUAAGUUCCGACCUGCACGAAUGGCAUAAUGAUGGCGGCGCUGUCUCCAGCAGAGGCUCAGUGAAAUCGAAAUCGCUGUGAAGAUGCAGUGUACCCGCGGCUAGACGGAAAGACCCCGUGAACCUUUACUGCAGCUUGACACUGAACUUUGACCUUACUUGUGUAGGAUAGGUGGGAGGCUUUGAAGCUGGAACGCUAGUUCCAGUGGAGCCGUCCUUGAAAUACCACCCUGGUAAUGUUGAGGUUCUAACUCUGUCCCGUGAUCCGGGACGAGGACCGUGUCUGGUGGGUAGUUUGACUGGGGCGGUCUCCUCCUAAAGAGUAACGGAGGAGUACGAAGGUGCGCUCAGCGUGGUCGGAAAUCACGCGUAGAGUAUAAAGGCAAAAGCGCGCUUAACUGCGAGACCCACAAGUCGAGCAGGUACGAAAGUAGGUCUUAGUGAUCCGGUGGUUCUGUAUGGAAGGGCCAUCGCUCAACGGAUAAAAGGUACUCUGGGGAUAACAGGCUGAUACCGCCCAAGAGUUCAUAUCGACGGCGGUGUUUGGCACCUCGAUGUCGGCUCAUCUCAUCCUGGGGCUGAAGCAGGUCCCAAGGGUAUGGCUGUUCGCCAUUUAAAGAGGUACGCGAGCUGGGUUUAGAACGUCGUGAGACAGUUCGGUCCCUAUCUACCGUGGGCGCUGGAAAUUUGAGAGGAUCUGCUCCUAGUACGAGAGGACCAGAGUGGACGAACCUCUGGUGUACCGGUUGUGACGCCAGUCGCAUCGCCGGGUAGCUAUGUUCGGAAGGGAU
rnacentral:rRNA from 1 species